GUUGAGUGGCGGACGGGUGAGUAACACGUGGGUAACCUGCCUAAAAGAAGGGGAUAACACUUGGAAACAGGUGCUAAUACCGUAUAUCUCUAAGGAUCGCAUGAUCCUUAGAUGAAAGAUGGUUCUACUAUCGCUUUUAGAUGGACCCGCGGCGUAUUAACUAGUUGGUGGGGUAACGGCCUACCAAGGUAAUGAUACGUAGCCGAACUGAUAGGUUGAUCGGCCACAUUGGGACUGAGACACGGCCCAAACUCCUACGGGAGGCAGCAGUAGGGAAUCUUCCACAAUGGACGCAAGUCUGAUGGAGCAACGCCGCGUGAGUGAAGAAGGUCUUCGGAUCGUAAAACUCUGUUGUUAGAGAAGAACACGAGUGAGAGUAACUGUUCAUUCGAUGACGGUAUCUAACCAGCAAGUCACGGCUAACUACGUGCCAGCAGCCGCGGUAAUACGUAGGUGGCAAGCGUUGUCCGGAUUUAUUGGGCGUAAAGGGAACGCAGGCGGUCUUUUAAGUCUGAUGUGAAAGCCUUCGGCUUAACCGGAGUAGUGCAUUGGAAACUGGAAGACUUGAGUGCAGAAGAGGAGAGUGGAACUCCAUGUGUAGCGGUGAAAUGCGUAGAUAUAUGGAAGAACACCAGUGGCGAAAGCGGCUCUCUGGUCUGUAACUGACGCUGAGGUUCGAAAGCGUGGGUAGCAAACAGGAUUAGAUACCCUGGUAGUCCACGCCGUAAAC
rnacentral:rRNA from 1 species